rnacentral:rRNA from 1 species
GACGGAGGAUGCAAGCGUUAUCCGGAAUGAUUGGGCGUAAAGCGUCCGCAGGUGGCAGUUCAAGUCUGCUGUCAAAGACCGGGGCUUAACUUCGGAAAGGCAGUGGAAACUGAACAGCUAGAGUAUGGUAGGGGCAGAGGGAAUUCCUGGUGUAGCGGUGAAAUGCGUAGAGAUCAGGAAGAACAUCGGUGGCGAAGGUGCUCUGCUGGACCAUAACUGACACUCAGGGACGAAAGCUAGGGGAGCGAAUGGG